rnacentral:rRNA from 1 species
AUACGGAGGAUGCAAGCGUUAUCCGGAUUUAUUGGGUUUAAAGGGUGCGUAGGCGGUUUGCUAAGCGGGAGGUGAAAUGCCGGCGCUCAACGUCGGAAGUGCCUCCCGAACUGGUGGACUUGAAUGACUCUGCCGUGGGUGGAAUGUGUAGUGUAGCGGUGAAAUGCAUAGAGAUCACACAGAACACCGAUUGCGAAGGCAUCUCACGAAGGGGUGAUUGACGCUGAGGCACGGAAGCGUGGGGAUCAAACAUGAUUAGAUACCCUGGUAGUCCACGCAGUAAACGAUGAUAACUAACCGCUGGGUCGUAGUGAUUCAGUGGCCAAGCGAAAGCGAUAAGUUAUCCGCCUGGGGAGUACGACCGCAAGGUUGAAACUCAAAUGAAUUGGCGGGG